AAAUGUUUCUUUAGAAAUGGUUCACCAAACCAUCAGCCAGAGCCGCCCCCUCCAGUCACAGAUAACCUUUUGCCAACAACCACACCUCAGGAAGCUCAACAGUGGUUGCAUCGAAACCGGUUUUCUACAUUUACAAGGCUUUUUACCAACUUUUCAGGGGCAGAUUUAUUGAAACUAACUAGAGAUGAUGUGAUCCAAAUCUGUGGCCCUGCAGAUGGAAUCAGACUUUUUAAUGCUUUAAAA